rnacentral:rRNA from 1 species
GACGAACGCUGGCGGCGUGCCUAACACAUGCAAGUCGAACGAGAAUCAAUGGAUUGAGACUUCGGUUGAUUGAAGUUGAGGAAAGUGGCGAACGGGUGAGUAACGCGUGAGAAACCUGCCUUUCAGUGGGGGACAACAGUUGGAAACGACUGCUAAUACCGCAUAAUGUAUCGAGGGGGCAUCCUCUUGAUACCAAAGCUUAAUGUGCUGAAAGAUGGUCUCGCGUCUGAUUAGCUAGUUGGCGGGGUAACGGCCCACCAAGGCGACGAUCAGUAGCCGGUCUGAGAGGAUGAACGGCCACAUUGGGACUGAGAUACGGCCCAGACUCCUACGGGAGGCAGCAGUGGGGAAUAUUGGGCAAUGGGGGAAACCCUGACCCAGCAACGCCGCGUGAAGGAAGAAGGCUUCGGGUUGUAAACUUCUUUUAGCAGGGACGAAGGACGUGACGGUACCGUGCAGAAAAAGCAACGGCUAACUACGUG